AACUCACAACGGCUCUCAUCAUCUCCUAUCAUCUUCUUAUCAUCUCUCUCUAUAAAUUGAAUCGAUUCUUUCAUCAUCUUCCUAUCAUCUCUCUCUCUCUCUCUCAACUCACAAAUCGAUUCAAUCGGCUCUCUCUCUCUCUCUCUCUCUCUCUCUCUCUCUCUCUCAACUCACAAAUCGAUUCUUUCUCUACUAGACUACUACCAAUCUUUAUUGCUGCUACAAAUCGAUUCUUUCU
rnacentral:lncRNA from 1 species